rnacentral:rRNA from 1 species
CACGAGUUUGAUCAUGGCUCAGAACGAACGCUGGCGGCAUGCCUAACACAUGCAAGUCGAACGAGACCUUCGGGUCUAGUGGCGCACGGGUGCGUAACGCGUGGGAACCUGCCUUUAGGUUCGGAAUAACUCAGAGAAAUUUGAGCUAAUACCGGAUGAUGUCUUCGGACCAAAGAUUUAUCGCCUUUAGAUGGGCCCGCGUUGGAUUAGCUAGUUGGUGGGGUAAAGGCCUACCAAGGCGACGAUCCAUAGCUGGUCUGAGAGGAUGAUCAGCCACACUGGGACUGAGACACAGCCCAGACUCCUACGGGAGGCAGCAGUGGGGAAUAUUGGACAAUGGGCGAAAGCCUGAUCCAGCAAUGCCGCGUGAGUGAUGAAGGCCUUAGGGUUGUAAAGCUCUUUUACCCGAGAUGAUAAUGACAGUAUCGGGAGAAUAAGCUCCGGCUAACUCCGUG